rnacentral:ribozyme from 17 species
GAAUUACGAUGAAAUGCAAAGGCACAAGGGAUUGGACGAUUAUAGAAAUGCCCUAUUUUUCUGUACUUUUUUUCUUCCUGCUGCUUCAUCCCAUCAAUGGUUUGCUCGAUUUUUCAAAUACA